CUGCAAGGGUCAGGACACAUCCAGUGCGCCACUCAAGGCUGUCCUACACCUCUCUAAAAAGCCUGGCGUGACUGAGCUGCUGGGUGUGGAUGACCAUGUGGAUCAGGGCCAGGAGCACAGGCCUGAGGUGGCAAAGAGGGCACAGGACGAGCUGGGCCCCACCACCCUAGCAGAGCACCAGCCAGCUUCUGACCUCAAACACUGAUCCCAUGCAGCUAGCUGGUAAUGGAUGCUUAGAGCCCUGCAUGAAGAAAAGACUGGGACAGCUGCCUCAAGGGAUUUCUUUUCAAGCUAAUAAAAAAAUGUAACCUGC